rnacentral:rRNA from 1 species
GAGUUUGAUCCUGGCUCAGGACGAACGCUGGCGGCGUGCCUAAUACAUGCAAGUCGAGCGCGUGAAGCUGACUGAUCCCCUUCGGGGGAGACGUUGGUGGAUCGAGCGGCGGACGGGUGAGUAACACGUGGGCAACCUGCCUGUAAGACUGGGAUAACCCCGGGAAACCGGGGCUAAUACCGGAUAAUACUUUUCUUUGCAUGAAGAGAAGUUAAAAGAGGGCCGUAAGGCUCUCACUUACAGAUGGGCCCGCGGCGCAUUAGCUAGUUGGUGAGGUAAGAGCUUACCAAGGCGACGAUGCGUAGCCGACCUGAGAGGGUGAUCGGCCACACUGGGACUGAGACACGGCCCAGACUCCUACGGGAGGCAGCAGUAGGGAAUCUUCCGCAAUGGACGAAAGUCUGACGGAGCAACGCCGCGUGAGUGAUGAAGGUUUUCGGAUCGUAAAGCUCUGUUGUGAGGGAAGAACAAGUGCCGUUCGAACAGGGCGGCACCUUGACGGUACCUCACCAGAAAGCCCCGGCUAACUACGUGCCAGCAGCCGCGGUAAUACGUAGGGGGCAAGCGUUGUCCGGAAUUAUUGGGCGUAAAGCGCGCGCAGGCGGUCUUUUAAGUCUGAUGUGAAAGCCCACGGCUUAACCGUGGAGGGUCAUUGGAAACUGGAGGACUUGAGUACAGAAGAGGAGAGUGGAAUUCCACGUGUAGCGGUGAAAUGCGUAGAGAUGUGGAGGAACACCAGUGGCGAAGGCGACUCUCUGGUCUGUAACUGACGCUGAGGNUGCGAAAGCGUGGGGAGCGAACAGGAUUAGAUACCCUGGUAGUCCA